CAGAAAGGCAUCUUUUUGUUUUUAAAAGACCUUCUUCGGAGGGUAUGCUUAAAGAGGGGCUUGCGCCACAUUAGUUAGUUGGUGAGGUAAAGGCUUACCAAGAUUAUGAUGUGUAGCUGGACUGAGAGGUUGAACAGCCACAUUGGGACUGAGACACGGCCCAAACUCCUACGGGAGGCAGCAGUAGGGAAUUUUCGGCAAUGGAGGAAACUCUGACCGAGCGACGCCGCGUGAAUGAUGAAGUAUUUCGGUAUGUAAAGUUCUUUUAUUGAAGAAGAAAAAAUAGUGGAAAAACUAUCUUGACGUUAUUCAAUGAAUAAGCCCCGGCUAACUAUGUGCCAGCAGCCGCGGUAAGACAUAGGGGGCGAGCGUUAUCCGGAAUUAUUGGGCGUAAAGGGUGCGUAGGCGGUUAGAUAAGUCUAUAAUUUAAUUUCAGUGCUUAACGCUGUCUUGUUAUAGAAACUGUCUUGACUAGAGUGAGAUAGAGGCAAGCGGAAUUCCAUGUGUAGCGGUAAAAUGUGUAAAUAUAUGGAGGAACACCAGAAGCGUAGGCGGCUUGCUGGGUCUUUACUGACGCUGAGGCACGAAAGCGUGGGGAGCAAACAGGAUUAGAUACCCUGGUAGUCCACGCUGUAAACGAUGAGUACUAAGUGUCGGGGAAACUCGGUACUGAAGUUAACACAUUAAGUACUCCGCCUGAGUAGUACGUACGCAAGUAUGAAACUUAAAGGAAUUGACGGGACUCCGCACAAGCGGUGGAUCAUGUUGUUUAAUUCGAAGAUACACGAAAAACCUUACCAGGUCUUGACAUACUCUGCAAAGCUAUAGAAAUAUAGUGGAGGUUAUCAGGGAUACAGGUGGUGCAUGGUUGUCGUCAGUUCGUGUCGUGAGAUGUUAGGUUAAGUCCUAAAACGAACGCAACCCCUGUCGCUAGUUGCCAGCACGUAAUGGUGGGGACUUUAGCGAGACUGCCAAUUAAACAUUGGAGGAAGGUGGGGAUAACGUCAAAUCAUCAUGCCCCUUAUGAUCUGGGCUACAAACGUGAUACAAUGGCUAUUACAAAGAGUAGCUGAAACGCGAGUUUUUAGCCAAUCUCAAAAAGGUAGUCUCAGUACGGAUUGAAGUCUGCAACUCGACUUCAUGAAGCUGGAAUCGCUAGUAAUCGCGAAUCAGCAUGUCGCGGUGAA
rnacentral:rRNA from 1 species